GACGAACGCUGGCGGCGUGCUUAACACAUGCAAGUCGAACGGAAAGGCCCUGCUUUUGUGGGGUGCUCGAGUGGCGAACGGGUGUGUAACACGUGAGUAACCUGCCCUUGACUUUGGGAUAACUUCAGGAAACUGGGGCUAAUACCGGAUAGGAGCUCCUGCUGCAUGGUGGGGGUUGGAAAGUUUCGGCGGUUGGGGCUGGACUCGCGGCUUAUCAGCUUGUUGGUGGGGGAGUGGCUUACCAAGGCUUUGACGGGUAGCCGGCCUGAGAGGGUGACCGGCCACCUUGGUACUGAGAUACGGCCCAGACUCCUACGGGAGGCAGCAGUCGGAAACAUUGCACAAGGGGCGGAAGCCUGAUACAGCGACGCCGCGUGCGUAAUGACGGCCUUCGGGUUGUAAACCGCUGUCGCCUGUGACGAAGCGUGAGUGACGGUAAUGGGUAAAUAAGCACCGGCUAACUACGUG
rnacentral:rRNA from 1 species